rnacentral:snRNA from 1 species
GUGCUUACUUCGCCGGUAUAUAUACUAAAAUUGGAACGAUACAGAGAAGACUAACAUGGCCUCUGAGCAUAGAUGACAUGCGAAAUCAUGAAGCAUUCCAUAUUAUU